UACGUAGGGGGCAAGCGUUGUCCGGAUUUAUUGGGCGUAAAAGGCUUGUAGGUGGCCACGCCAAGUCGGAUGUGAAAUCUCCCGGCUCAACUGGGAGGGGUCAUUCGAUACUGGCGGGCUCGAGGCCGGUAGGGGGAAGUGGAAUUCCCGGUGUAGUGGUGGAAUGCGUAGAUAUCGGGAGGAACACCAGUGGCGAAGGCGGCUUCCUGGACCGGUUCUGACAC
rnacentral:rRNA from 1 species